rnacentral:rRNA from 1 species
GAUGAACGCUGGCGGCGUGCCUAAUACAUGCAAGUCGAGCGAACAGACGAGGAGCUUGCUCCUCUGACGUUAGCGGCGGACGGGUGAGUAACACGUGGAUAACCUACCUAUAAGACUUGGCUAACUUCGGGAAACCGUAGCUAAUACCGGAUAAUAUAUUUAACCGCAUGGUUCAAUAGUGAAAGACGGUUUUGCUGUCACUUAUAGAUGGCUCCGCGCCGCAUUAGCUAGUUGGUAAGGUAACGGCUUACCAAGGCGACGAUGCGUAGCCGACCUGAGAGGGUGAUCGGCCACACUGGAACUGAGACACGGUCCAGACUCCUACGGGAGGCAGCAGUAGGGAAUCUUCCGCAAUGGGCGAAAGCCUGACGGAGCAACGCCGCGUGAGUGAUGAAGGUCUUCGGAUCGUAAAACUCUGUUAUUAGGGAAGAACAAAUGUGUAAGUAACUAUGCACGUCUUGACGGUACCUAAUCAGAAAGCCACGGCUAACUACGUG